UUGCUUCGGCAGCAGAUAUACUAAAAUUGGAAUGAUACGGAGAAGAUUAGCAGGGCCCCUGCACAAAGAUGAACGCUACUAUUAAGGAACAUAUACUUUGAAU